GAAAUAGAUAAUUCUUUAUUGCAACACCUCCACUGCUAUGAACAGGCCUUCAUAAUGUUUAACUGUUGAAAUAUAUUUACAACACACGUGAUGAAUACAAAAUAUAAAUAUAUUUCACUUAAUGGUAUGUAUAUCAUGUACAGCAGUGGUGAUUGUAUAACAGAAUGCUUUCUUAUGCACACGGGUGUGUGUUUGGUGUAAUGCCACACUACACAAAAUUGCAACAUAUGACAACAGCUUGGUACUAAUGGUAUAGGCACCAGACAAGCCACUAAUUGAACUUGACAGUCUAAGUUUCUACAUCAUCUACCAAUUCAUCAAGCUUGACCAACGUUAACCCAGCUCUAUUGUCCAUCAUAGACAGCUUGGGUCCAGUUUUGUAGUGUAUUCCCCACAGGUCUAUCUAAUGCAUACCAUACAACUGUUAACAGCUGAAGUCAAGGUCAAGUCAUGAAGCAACAACUUAAGUCCACAAUGAGAUGAUUGUCAA